rnacentral:rRNA from 1 species
AUACGUAGGGAGCGAGCGUUAUCCGAAUUUAUUGGGUGUAAAGCGUGUGUAGGCGGUUUAAUAAGUCUAAGGUUUAAUGCUGAAGCUUAACUUCAGUUCGCCUUGGAAACUGUUUUACUUGAAUGCGGUAGAGGCAAGUGGAAUUUCUAGUGUAGCGGUAAAAUGCUUAGAUAUUAGAAGGAACACCAGUGGCGAAGGCGACUUGCUGGGCCGUGAUUGACGCUGAGACACGAAAGCGUGGGGAGCAAAUAGGAUUAGAUACCCUAGUAGUCCACGCCGUAAACGAUGAAUACUAAGUAUCGGGGUUACUCGGUGCUGAAGUUAACACAUUAAGUAUUCCACCUGAGUAGUACGGUCGCAAGGCUGAAACUUAAAGGAAUUGACGGGG